rnacentral:rRNA from 1 species
CCUACGGGAGGCAGCAGUGGGGAAUAUUGCACAAUGGGGGGAACCCUGAUGCAGCGACGCCGUGUGCGUGAAGAAGUAUUUCGGAAUGUAAAGCUCUAUCAGCAGGAACGAGACAAGACGGUACCUGACUAAGAAGCCCCGGCUAACUACGGGCAAGCAGCAGAGGUAAUACGUAGGGGGCAAGCGUUAUCCGGAAUCACUGGGUGAAAAGGGAGCGUAGACGGCUGAGCAAGCAUGAAGUGAAAGGCGGGGGCCCAACCCCCGGACUGCUUUGGGAACUGUACGGCUGGAGUGCAGGAGAGGUAAGUGGAAUUCCUAGUGUAGCGGUGAAAUGCGUAGAUAUUAGGAGGAACACCAGUGGCGAAGGCGGCUUACUGGACUGUAACUGACGUUGAGGCUCGAAAGCGUGGGGAGCAAACAGGAUUAGAUACCCCAGUAGUC